UACGAAGGGGGCUAGCGUUGCUCGGAAUCACUGGGCGUAAAGGGUGCGUAGGCGGGUCUUAAGUCAGGGGUGAAAUCCUGGAGCUCAACUCCAGAACUGCCUUUGAUACUGAAGAUCUUGAGUUCGGGAGAGGUGAGUGGAACUGCGAGUGUAGAGGUGAAAUCGUAGAUAUUCGCAAGAACACCAGUGGCGAAGGCGGCUCACUGGCCCGAUACUGACGCUGAGGCACGAAAGCGUGGGGAGCAA
rnacentral:rRNA from 1 species